rnacentral:lncRNA from 1 species
GAAGCCCCUGGCGCGCUCAGCCCCUUCCUGAGGGCCCGGCCCGCACCCGCCGCCCCGCCCCAACGAGGCAGACAAAGGAGCGACGCAGCGCCCAGCGAGGGCUGAAGGACGGCGCCGGCGGGCGGACCGAGCGCGGGCCGCGCCGACGGGAGAGGGAGGCAUCGCGGCACGGCAGGCACAGCGGGCACGGCACACCCGGAAGAGCCGCAGCGAGGAGUUAGGGGAGAAAGUAAGAGCGAGCAAACAAACAAGGGACCCGCUGAGGUGGGACCCAGCGGGCAGAAGGGAGCGCUGCAGGGAGAUAGCGGCGUUCAGCACAAGAGCAGAAGCCGCUUCAAACCCGCUCCCGGCCCCCAGCGCGCUCCCCGGGCCGCUCCGGCAGCAGAUAGGCGGCCCGAGCCGUACUUACCACGAGCAGCACGGCUCUCCCCACGGUUCGCGCCCGCCUCUAUUUCAAGGCCCCGCUCCGCCUUCUACGGCGCGCGGGUGCGGGGUGGGUGGGUGGAGCUUGGGCUUGGGCUUCCCCGGCCGGGUGAAGGGGGAGGGGAGCGGGGCUGUGCGGGGUAGCGCCCUGCAGCUUCCCCUCCUCCCUCCCUCCCUCCCUCCCGUCACGUGUCCGUUUGUAAGAGCGUGUGUGUGUACGGCACAUCCAGCGUUUCAGCUUGUGUGUCUUAAUGUUGUGUCGCUGUAGAAAGCGAAGCUUGCUUCUGCUCGCCGCCGUUUUCCUGUCGCGCUCGCUCUCCUUGCAGCGUGCUGAGUCACUGCACCCCAGCGCUCAGCACGUUUGGAAAUCCUUGCUCCCUCGCUGUUGUUACACGGCUGCAAGUGCGCCAGGAGGAGGGUUUCCAUCCAGCCAUGUCAGUAACACGAAGCUGGAGCCCUCUCCCCCCGCUGCCAAUCAUAGAAUCAUGGAAUCAUAGGAUGGCCUGGGUUGAAAAGGACCACAAUGAUCAUCGAGUUUCAACCCCCCUGCUAUGUGCAGGGUCGCCAACCACCGGACCAGGCUGCCCAGAGCCACAUCCAGCCUGGCCUUGAAUGCCUCCAGGGAUGGGGCAUCCACAGCCUCCUUGGGCAGCCUGUUCCAGUUCCAGCCAAAUCCCAGCAUAGUUCUCGCCAUGCUCUUCUCAGAGCCCACAGCGCGUUUGCAGUUUUACCACAUCAGCUGACAGCCCUUUCCUUACCCUUUGGAGCCCCAGGGGCUGGAAGCGGUUUGGCUCCCUGCCCCACGCUGGCCCGGCUCUGAGUGAGGCGGGCAGUGGGGUGUGAGGCACCUUGGAGGGAAUGAAGGGCUGACUGUGGUAGGGUCGGGAAGUUCCCGGGCGGUACUCUGGUCAGCACUGAAAACUGAAAGCAACAGCUGUGCCACACAAGACUGAUGAUAUGAUUUGCUUUGUUAGGGGGCCUUUUCUGGUGUUAUUUCCUAUCACACCUGGCUAAUCUGCACAGGAAGUGUGACUGGCUCUCUCAGGGCCUCCAGGGUCAGUGUAGCUUUUUGCUGAGGCAAGCAAUAAGGGAUGCUCUCUGUGGGACUCGCUGUUCCAUUCACAGUUUAUAAAGGGGAGAAAUCUGGAUAUCUAACUGAGAUCAGACAGCCUUCAUGGGUGCUUGAUGGGCACAGACUGAGAGGAAUCCCCUGACCUAGCAAGCCUGCAGGGUAAUUAAAAAGGCAGAUGAAGUGUCACAAGGCUGACUUCCUUAAAUUUGAUGGGGAGCCUCCUGUGUCCAGGGAUCCAGUUGUCACUUGCCAUAUAGCCGCUCUUUUGGCACCAAGACUAGCAAUAGGUAUGGCUUUCUGACACCAGAGGGAUCCCCUUCAGGUAGCUGCAGCUACAUCUCAUUAUUUUCGAAAGCAGGAGAUCAAAAAAGGACAUGAGAACUGUCAGGUUUGCUGUGUCCCCAGAGAGCAGCCCACGUACCAAGCUGCAGGAAGGACAACGUCACUCCUGCCACUCUUCAGCACAGCCUGCCGCCCAGCCAAAGAGGAAAGCCCAAGGCCCAGCAUCCCUUUCUGUGGCCACAGUAGGUCUGCUUUAAAACAACCACUUUACAAACACCAGAGUUUUUCCUUUGUUUUGAUGAUGGUUGGGCGGGCAGGCAAGUAAGAUUCAUCGUUAUGGUUUUCCCCGGCUGGGAUUUCCCUCAACAUUGUGUGUGUGUUCUCUGCCUCUCGAACAAAUGGCACACUUCAGUCUUGUGAUUUGCUUCACAUACUUGAUGACAGCACUGCUGCUGACUGGAUGUAAUUCCUCUGAGCUUCAAGUUCCUGGAGUUUACAGGACACAACACCCAGCACUUGAGCUGAACAUCUGUUCUUUUCCAACAGGAGAUGCCUAGAUGAGACAACUUUUUCUUGAUACGUAAGCUGGUGAGGUUUAACGUCUGAAUCCUUCCAGUCUGCUGACAGGACGCUGCUCUGGAGCUGCAGAUAAUGUAUCUUAGCCAAUCUUCCUAAGCUGCCACGCUGCAGAUGAAACACAGGCGUGCUGUAGUAGAGGCUUAAAACAGCAUGGAAAGUCAAUGGAGAGGUGCUCACGUAAGUCCUUGUUGUACUAAGCCCAGCUAUGCCAGGGUUCAUGCAAGUACUACCUAUGCUAAGGAAGCGAACUACAACUAGAGAAACCAAAUUCUAGUUCCUACGAUCACUUUCACCCCUUUUUGGUGUUUAUUAUCGUUUCUUUUCACAGAAGAAGCAAUGUAAAAUUGGAGGAAGGUGUAUUCUAUUUUGGGGCUGCAUCAAGAUCGAUUUUGUUUUUACAUCAGACGAUUCAGAUGGGCUCGAAGUGUUCCAGCAAUAACACAACAACCCGAAGCAGAGCCCUGGAACACCUGGCCUUUUAUCACAAGAUCGCCUUCCUCCAGCUCCUGGCUUCCUCGUCAGCUGUGGGAGCGGACGCAUGGGAAACAAACCGUAACUCCACCAACAAAAAGAAAAAAUAAUUCAUGACUUUAUUUCUUUUCUUUUUUCUUUUAGUUCAGUUGGCCAUCUGAGGUGCUAAAAUCUCAACACCAAUGAAGCGAGUGUGCAUAAAAACAAAUGAUAAAACAACCAAACAGAAAAGAGGCUGGAACAGUUUUGGGGUUUUUUUUUUUUUUUUUUUGUUGGUUUUUUGUUGUUGUUGUUUUGUUUUUUUAACAAGUAGGAUAUAUACGCUUUUCUGUUAACACUCCAUACAUGCCAACCAUAAAAAGCCUUGAACAAUCUGAAUAUCAGAGUUCACUCUCAUUCAAAAGGGAAGAUGCCAAGGCAAAUCCCUUCACCUGGAACAGACUUCACACACACGCACACAUGCACGCACAGAUACAGAGAAUAUUUAAAUUACUGCAAUGCCAUCAGAACUUGGCAUCCUCCACACCUACUUUCAAUGACAUCCUCAUCUGCCCGCUGCCCUGUCUGUAGCAGUACUGCGAGCAAUCCAAAAGUGGAGGCUUUUGGAAAGCUUCUAAUCUCUGUUACUUUGCAACAGUCAAGAGCAAGCGACCUCUCUCUGCCAACUAUGUACAGGCUGGUUAUUAGUAUGCUUUAGAGUUCUCUUUAUUGCAGACAGUGAUGAUUUAAAUUCCCAUACAGCCAUACCGUGGCUUCUCAGUUCGUACUCAGGAGAUCUGAUAAUGCAACACCUUUCUCGUCCGCUGGCGCUCGGUGUAAACAUUUAAUUGAAAACUCAUUUUAAAAGAAUGUUAACCAAACAAGGUGUAGCUGUGAAAAUUUUAGGAACAGCUGCUAAGAAAACGGAAAUGCUGGCUGCUCUAGAUCAUGCAGUCUAGACCACUUAUAAUACUUCAUAAUGUUCAGGAUUAGGAUGUAUAAAAAUAUUAAAAACCACCGGAGUGCACACAAAUGUGGUGACUAGCUCUAUGCAAGCACCGUGUUCUAACAGAGGCCUAGGCAUUGCACAAACUCAGGUUCUUGACCGCAGGGGUAACCCAUGGAUCCACUAGUGUCUUUACAUACAAACAAAUAUUUACAUAAAAUGCAGAGACAGAGAGUAGCACAGACUUGUAAAACUUGUAGUUUGCUCGAAAAUACGUUCAGCGACGCAGUUUGUAUCGUGCCCUAGCGAGGCCACGGGGUUUUGGUUAGCUGAAAAAAAAAAAGAAGGAGCACGUCUGGAAGUUGGAGCUGAAAGAUGCUCUUGUCACCUCCCCAUGCAUAGUUCUCUGAAGCUCAGGAUUUUACAGCCGUUUGUGAGCUUAAAUGAAAAGACCAUAAAAGGAACAGAACAGUUAAAAAAAAAAUGUAUUUGUGCUGUGAAAACAGCAGAUUGGGUGUUUUGGCAGCCUUCACUCCCCCAUCCCUACUUGCUUCCUGGGUGUUUCCAGGAGGUGAUAUCAUCUCCUCCUUUCCCCUUAGGGGACCGAAGUGCUUGCCCCAUCCUCGGGUGUGCCCAUUUGGAAAUAAAGGUGGGUUAGCUUCUGAGCUCUAUGCUCCUCCCGUGACACGGAGGAAGGAGCCAGCCCCUGGUAUGGGGACUGUCACACAGGGGCAUACAGGCAGAUACCUUUUGCACACCUAAUUCUCAGAAGCUGAGGGCCUUUUCACUUCCCUCACGUGUAUGACGGACACACCUCACUGAAUACACACGGCUGAGUCAUGUGCUGCUUCCCACCUGGAUAGCACAAGGAGGCUAGAACAUCCUACUUGGAUUCUGAUACAAAUAAGGGAUCUUGUGGUCACAAGAGCCUUCUUUAGCUUUAAAAAUACAAAGUUUGAAUUAAAAAUAUUCAGACAGUAAAAAAACCCAGUAUCUGGUAUGCAAGUUAUAUUCUUAAAGUGCAACUGAACAGCAAAUACAAGUUGUGCCUUUUAAAACCAUUUGAUAUAAAAAGGCCUUUUAAGAUUUCCUUUCGUGUACUUUCAGUUAAUUUGUGUGUGCGAUGUUAGGUCUCCACUUUCAUUCUAAGUGCUGGAGGACUUCAGCACAACUCAGAGAGUUCAGCUUUAGGAUAUGCAUUUUUCCCCUGCAGUAGGGCAUUACACCCUCAAGUGAUAUGACUCAGGCAGUGAAAAAAUCUGGCCCAUGUCCCCCAGCAUGAAAAGGGAUAGGUAUGUCUUCUUUAUACAGCUCACAUUCAGUGAUCUUUUGUUAAAAGUUAAAUAUGGUCCAUAUACACAACAAAAGGGACUGAGGCCAAUUCUCUGCACAGAACAGUUUACUGCAAACUACUGAGGUUCCCCCUUUCUUCUCUCCUCUGCAGGUUCCACUGGCCCCUCAUGCAGACUAUGUGACCUACUACCACUACCAGUUUGACUCCUACAGCUGGCAAAUAGGGAGUACUUUGUUAACUGAAUCCUGUUAGUAGGCCAACACUUCUCAAGAAUUUUGUCCAGUGAGGUUGGUAUACAGGUAUGACUUUCCAACAUGCAUAUUUACUAAGUAGCACUGAAGCUGCCUACCUUCGUUGUUUCACAACAUUUGUGUUUAAUUUGUAAUGCCUUAGCUGACAAUGGUAAGGAGGGGAAAAGGGGAACUCCUGAAGUGUAAAAAAACAAGUUUCUGUAGUUAGCCCUGCUCACAGACCUUGGAGACCAUCCUAUCCAUUCCUCCUCAGCAUGAGAUAUGUUCAUCCAUCAGAGGUGACCACAGGUUGUAGACUGCUGGCCUCUUUGAAGGAGGCAGAGAGUCAACAGCAAGAAACCAUGUUAACAUUUAUCCUGGGGCAAAGAAUUAAAGGAUGUUGAGCCCUGCUUGGGCAUCUUGCACCAACAGUGUAUGUUCACGCUGAAAGAGCUACCAUGCUGUAUGAAUAUGCUUGGGAAUGGAACACCCUUCCAGUACUUCCUUAACAUAAACAGAAAAUAGGCAACAACUUCAGGGGAAAAACAAAAACAAAUUAAAACCAAGUUCUUAACACAACAUUUUAAGGAUGGGACACAGACCCAACACACAGUGCUAUUUCAGCUCUGUGCAACAAGUUCAGGAUGUAGCGUGCUCCUGAAUCUGUCAAACAGUGGAUGGUGCUGAAUUGCUAAGUGCAUGACCUGCGCAUUACUUAACGUACAAUUAUAAUGAAUACCCUCCUGGCUUAAAAGCAGCAGCUUCACCAGCUGAGCCAAAAGGAGCUUCUUCCAACAGGCAGCAGGAAAUGUGCUAUUUUUGUUUUCAUGAAAGUCUCUCUAACUGUAUCUCAGGAGUUAUGAAGGUCCCCUCUUUCAGUGAGAAAGGGACACGUGGGUUAUUUUCUGCCUUACAUUUUUGGCUUUCUCAUUAUAAAAAUUUUAAAUUUAAAUAAAUUAUAGGUUUAUUAGACCAACAGAGGGAUUCUGGGACGCAGAAGAAAAGUAUGCUAGGAACGCAAAAUAGAUUCUUACAACUCCACAAGUGUGCAGGAUUUUAUCAUAAAGGAAAUCUUGCUAGGGCAGGCUGCGUCCAUGGGGUCCAUAAAGACUGCCCUUGCUCUGAAAGAGGGACAUCCGCAGUAGUGUCUUCCUCUAAUAGAGUUAAAACACUCCCCCAUCCCCCUUCGAAUAUGUGUAACAUUAAAAUUAUUAUAAGAACACUAAUAAAUAGCCACAGGUAACAACGUCCAGUAAUUUAGAAGUGGAAGUUGUAGGAUGCAGCAGGCACACACACCUAUCACUCAUCCAUUAUUUUUUUUUUUCCUAAAAGAUACAAAAAUGAAUUUUCUUUCAAGUAUUAAAAAAAUAAGUUAAUCGACAUAAAAGGGUCAAAGUGACUGAGGGCCCAGGCAGGUCUUAAGCUUCGUUUCCAAUGUGCAAAAACAAAAUAUAGAGGAAAAAAUAAAAACACUGAAAAGUCUUAAUGGUGGUUUCAGUCACUUAAGGGCUUCUCCCUUUUAGGAGCUGAACAGCCAGGGAAUGCUGCUUGGUAACACCCCUGCCCCAGCGCACACUCAACACUGUCCCACAGUCAGUUUUUCCAGUGUCAAAACAGUCACAAUAAAAACAGAACGAAGAAGCCCAUCAGCCUCUGAGCUGUGGCCAAGACAACGAAGGCCAGCAGCAGCUGUCUCUCCAGUGUGUAGCAAAGCAGAAGGGCAUCUUCCGUCUCUCUUCUUCUCCCCUUUCUCCCCUACAAUAAAGACUUAGGAGACCAUGAUAGGGAGUGAGCCUUCUGAUGCCCGAAUCUCUUUAGAAACUGUGAGGCAGAGUUCCAUCACGCAUAACUAGUACUAUCUUCUCUGUCUCAUAUUUCUUCAUAUCCAUGCAUAAUGACCAACUGCAGGUUUCUUUGGUGGGGAGGAAGACUAAAGCAAAGAAGGUGCUGCCCUGGGCUUCUGGAGCUCUCCUGGAUAGCUGACUCCACCAAACAGGUUGCUACAGGCUGCUGUGGUUUUCCAGAGAGGGUUGUUACUUCCCUCCCUUUUAUUAGAACUGCUGUAGUAAAAAUGGGAAAGGAACGGACUGCUGUAAAUCCAGAUUAGUUAAGGGUACUUCUUCCCUUAACCUCCUUCCCCACACGUGGAUUAUUCAUCUCCCUGCUACCAAACAAACAAACAAAAAAAAUACAGUCAAUUGUACUGAACCUCAAGGAGACUCCACAGACUCAACUCAUUAUCUUCAACAUGGCCUGCAGACAUGUAAAACUUAAGCUUCUGGAACCAACACACUUAUCAAAAGGCUUCUGAGUGCUUCAAACCGAAUCACUGCAUGCUGUCGGACCCUUCAGAGAUUUCCCCUUCAACAUCUUCCUAUCCAUGUAAUUCUGGCAAACUCAGGGUAGGCCAACUGGAGAACACAAACCAGCAGAGGUAAAUGUGUCGAGCUCAGGACCAGUUCAAGCUAAAUCCUUUGGAGAGCAUGACUGCCUCCAGGUCCUUGUCUUCCUCUUUUUCUCGAAGCCGUUGCUCCUCAAGGAGAGCCACAAGAGAAUCUCUCUGCUCUACUACUUCUAGCAUCUCGUUCAGGAUCCUCUUCUCCUCUGAGAGCUCUUCGUCUGUCUUUAGAUGAUCUUCCACUGCCAUCCUCUCCCGGAGUUCCUGUUGUAAUCGACUCUGCCUGUCUUCCAGUUCUAGCUCCCGAGCGCUGGAAGGGAAACACACCAGGAGUCCAAGUUCUGGUUGUAUUAAAAUACUCUGUACAAUUGCUCCAUAUCCAUUCUCAAUUUCUGUCUCCCUCUAGAUAUCUCCUAUGCAUUUUAUCAAUCUAUUUUAGAACAACUUUAAGGAUACCUAAUGUAUGGAACUAGAUUUUUAAAGAUCAAAUCUAAAACAGUGUGAAACACUGGGAACGAGCAAAGCUGCACUCACUGUAAAAUCGUACCUUACCUCAAGUUAACUACUAUUUGCCACUCUAAAGACAAUUUACUUAACAGCUAAGGUCAUGCCAGGCCAUUGCCAUUUCAGAUUCCAAUGCAGACAACAUCUUGGGGCUUUUCUGACAAAGGCACCAAAAAAGACACCAAGCUUCCACACUGCUCAGGUCAGCUGCUGUACUCAAACUAAUUCCAGUGAAUAUGCACCACGGGGACUAAGAAAGCUCCCAGAUUUUUUACUGGAAAAAAAAUCUGUCACGUGAGCCCAAAUGAGAAGUACUGGAGUCCCACUACAAGCAGAGAAAAGGGGCCAUAUGAACAGAAUAACAGAAUUAAGCAGGUGACACAAUUAAGCAGUUUGGCUACACUUAGAAGCCAUUCAUUAUUUCUUUGUCACGCAGUAAAUGUGAACAGCACGUGUUUUAUCCAAGAACAGCUUGGAAAAGGCUCAGAACUGAACAAGUAUCCUUACUGCACACGUGCAAAUGGUUGGAAAUUUCAUUCCUUAUUGUAUCUUCUUCUUGCACUCUUCUCAAAGUUUGAUCCCUGUCUCAGCCAAGAAUCACACUGGAAGACUGCUGACCUUCAGGCAUUAUAGGGAAGACAGUACUGACAAAUCUUCCACUGCUACUUAUAAAAUAAUCCCUCUUUUGAAGUUUGCACAUUGACUUACAAGAUCAUUAGUUCAGACUCAUAGCGAACCAAGGCAUUCUUCUCCUGCACCAGCUUGAACCACUCUUGCAUCAGCUUGGGAUCAUCCUUCUUUCCCAUGCCUGCAAAGAAGAAACUUGGUAAGAUUGAGGCAAAAUACCACACAAUCCUUACAAGCCCAAAUGGCAAAAACAACAAUGGGGCAAAAUGUGCAAAGAAAGCCGAGCAAGAUGCUGCCAGAGCACUCCCAAGCCGGGUCCAUUCAGUUUGCCUAGAGCACACAAAAGAGUGGAAGUCAUCUCCAAAAGGAUUCUCUUGUCUUUGGAGUCUGAUUUUUAUUAUUAUUUUUUGCUUUCUGAUUUUCUUGUGAUUGCUUGUUUCUUCCUCACAUUUACUGCAGAAAGCCCACACUUCUGUAUGUUGCUUUUCCUUUCAUUAGAAGAGCUUUAUAGUUCCUCAUGCCAGCUACUUAAGUGUAUGCUCAUCAGAAAUAGAUUCAAUUGCCACUCUACAUCUUAUUUUCUUCAAUCGCACAUCCUCAAUCUUUUAUUUUACUGAUAGAAAGUAACAUUUCAUCUUUUCCUUUUUCAGUAGCUGAAUGAGUGUUUCUGACUGCUCCUCCUAGCCACAUGCAUCUAUCCACCUUGACGAUCCCCUGUGCACAGUAAGCACAGAAACUACCUCUACCGUAUUGCCCAUCAGCACCAGAAAGAAAGAGAGAACCCCCAGAUACAUUUGCUAAUGUGAAAGUGGAAGCAAAAAAAUCUUGGGCCAUGGUUGGUAUUUAUUUUUAAACCAACUCAUAAUUUUAUGCAGUAGAACACUGAUCAAUCUCACGUCUGUCAGAAGUUACCUAGAAUAAACUGCAGAAUUCUGUUCCCAAAGCCUUUUGUUGAUUUUUACCAAACACAAGAGCUUACCAGGAAAGCUCCUCCUGGCAGUCCCUUGUUUUGGGCCACUGAAUUCACACGGAAUUAUCUGCAGAUGAGUGCCUUGACUCUUACCCAACGCCAUCAAGAACCUUGGCAACUCAUCUACCUGCACAGAAAUGGAGGCCAGGGUAAGGCCUCAAAUUGAGUCCUACAGCAUUUCCUGCCAUGUACGCUAGGCAUUCUGAAGUAACUAACAGCCCUGUCUAAGUUUGUUAUUAAGGAUAUAUACUAUCUAUACCAAGAGCAAAACCUAUUAAUCAGUCAUUUUGAUUCCAAAAAUAAUCAUGCAGCAAGCUUGCUAUUUAAACUUUGGGAAACACUACACAAAUAUCACGUUAAUGACUAUUAGCGGUCAGAUGUGUGACCUGCCUUCAUUCUUCUGAUCUCAGAGAAUUGCUGCACUGGAGCAAAGUAAAGGCAGGCCUACAAUUCCUUUGAACUGCCGCUUAGUCUGAGAACAUCUGCCUUUGAAAAAUUGACAGAGCAGACCCUUGGGAAAUACCAGACCCAGCUGUACAACCCUAAGAGCCUCCAGCUCUCUGGGCUUUAUACCAGCGUGUUGCUCAUUUCCAAGCAUUCCUUUCUGAGCAUCUCUGCACAGUAUGCCCGUAUGGCGGCAGGAGAGGGAGACAGUACAUGCAGAUGUUCAGUGCAGUGGCGCAUGAAAGCACUGGAAAGUCUCCCUGUCCCUUCCAAUGCCAGGAUGUACAGAAAACAAAUGCCUCUAAGAAAAAGCCAAAAACACAGCGCUACUGACCUAUGGAAUAUAUUAAGUAUUUUUAAACAGCCAAUGAGCAGAGGAAGAAUGGUAGGAUUGGAGAGAGAGCACUGACAACUGAUACGAGGGAGCACCAUGGAAAGCAAAGUAAGUGGUUAGCAAAAUUACACCAUGAACACACAAACAGCCCGCUUCCCCCAUGCCUUGGCAAUGGAAAAUCUAUGGCAAACUCCAUUUGGGACAGCUGAAGAACUCACUCAGCAAGACCGAUGAGGGAAAAAUGGUCUAACGUAAGGUUUGUUUACUUAAAAAGUUCACGGAUGUUUUGCAAACCAGUCCUUUAAAAAGACACAGUAUUCCUUUAAUCCAUGUGUAUUAAUUAAAAGGCAAUUUAAGGAAGCAAAUUGUCUUCCCUUACCCCACCUUCCAAACAUCUUUCAGGAGGAAUGGAGAAAUCAAAGCCACCAAAUGCAAACAGAAACAUUUGAGUGUGAUGUUACUGCUCCCACAACCGCUCCACCAUGCCCGCCAUAGCACAGCUGGGACUCACAAAAGGGAUACUGUACCUUUAGUAACUUGCCAUAGGCCCACAAAACUGGUUACCAGGUUGCUACUGAGAAGGCUGGUUUGGGGAAACAGCAAUAAAAGGCUGGGGACCCUGUGGUCACUAGCUGACUAGUGCUGCUAUGACAACCCAGCUGUGGUCAAGGAGAACAGGGAGCGUGUGAGGUUACGUUACCUUCAUGGGCACAGCAAGGGCAGAAGGAGAGAGGUCUACGACGUGGUGUCCCGCCAUUUGGCUCAACUUCAAUAGGACCAAACGAGGAAGAGGAAGAGGCAGGAGAGGAAAAGGAAGUUGGAAGUGGAACGGAAGAGAGGAAAGGGGUGAAAUAAAAGACAAGCAAAGGACAAAAAGCGUAAGAGUGAGAAAGAAAGGAAACACGAGAAGAAAAGAAAAAAUACAAGAAAUGGAGAAGCAGAAACAAGGGAACAGUCUACAGAUGAAUAAUGUCUCUAGCAAGCACAGAUAACAGAUAAGAGGUAGGCUGAGUAUCAGUGAAUGCUUACUGAGCCGUACAAUUCCUAGACAGGAGCUUAUUGCUGACCUUUUCCUAACAUAAAUUUCCAAUCGCCUGGUCUUUAACUGAAAAGUUUGUGAACAAGAUGUCAGGGUGAGCAGAGAUAAAUAUUUAACUCCUGCUGAUAAUCUCAAAUUUCAAGCAGGGUUACAAAAACUCUCACCUUCAUGCAUAAGACUCCAGCUGUAAACAGCCAGCCCACCUUAUAGCUUUAUCAGGACCGUGGUCUUAUCACCGUGGCAGCAUCCACUGAUGGAAAAAUUAUCCUUUUAAAUGGAAAAUAAUUCCUUCAGGUAGGGAACAUCACAGGGAGAAUCUAAUUCAUGUGGAACCCAUCUGCCAGGAUCUGCUGUGUCAAGCAUGGUGAGUACAUGUACUUGGGUUGGGUGCUUAGACGAGAAUCAGCUUUUAUGUGGAUAAAAAAAUGAUUCAUGUCAGUGUCUGUGGGGGGAAUGAUCACCUAAGGGCACUGCAUAGGUAAAACGGUGAAUUUAAAGCUGUCCCUUGACAUUCUCAUUUCACAAAGCUUACAAGUCCUGUUAACAUCAGUGACUUACUGAAUAUUUUCCAUCAUCACAGUCACCCAAUGAAGGACAAACAUUUCUCAUCUCUACAAUGGUUCAGCUGCUUCAACACUUAGAAUCUGCUCUUCAGCUGUACUUAACGUUGCAGAGAUAAAUAGUAGAAAAAAACCAGGUGAUGAGCCUGAAAUAUUAAAGCCAGCAAACUAAAACAUUUGCUACUCUGAAUGAAGAACCUCAUUUAUAAAUGGGAGGCAUUCCUGUUUGGGAAAAGGAAUAAGCUCCCGAACAAUAAUACGGUAAGAGUAACUCAUAACAUGGAGAAGCUAGCAGUUUGGUACAUAUGGUUUCGAGACAGCUUUACAUAACUCCAAACUAGCAGCAAUCUUGGAGAGCUUUAGAAGGGACCAUCACAGAACUAGACCAGCACAUGGAGGACGCACUGGAGCGAGAGGGAGAGCACAUCAGCUUCAAAGCCUGUAUCUGAGCAGCAAGGCUUUCUCAGACAGGAAGAAACCUCUGCACUGGGGGUAAGGAAGGGGCAACAUUAGGAGAGGUUCCACAGUUGGCCACAUGACAGAUAAAGCACCGUACCAACAUAAGUUGACAGUACCAGAACCUUAAUUCUAGUUAUUCAGUCUUCCAGCUUCUUCACUUAAAAUGAAAAAUGCUAGGGCUGCUUUUCCUGUGGUUGCCAUUUCACAGAUUUAGGUUACAAAAGCAAAAACAAGUCCCCUAAACACUAAAACAUACAGGCUUAUCCUCUGUGAAGAAGCUUCCAUAGAAAGUAGAGCAUGUAGCGCGUUAUGCCCAUUGCAUUUUUUGUUUCACAUCCUACCUUAUUCAACAUUAAUAUUUCACAUUAUAAGCUUUUACACUCUAACUGGUGGUCUGCCAGUUCUUUUUGGGGAUCAGGAAAUGGAUAUUUAACUAUAUGGAAGAAUCCAUUUCAAUUUCUCAGCGUUUGAGAUUUCAUUCAGCAUUUUAGGGGGUGGGGUGAUAUUGCUGACUCAAACACAGUUACAUUUCUAAAUUUCAGACUGUAGAGUUACAGAUUUGGUGAGGAAUUCCAAAUUUGCCAUAUUUGAUCUGAAAAUAAAUACCUGAUAUUGAAAAUGCCAUUCACCUCAUUGCAACAAUGGCCACAAACUAUUAAUUUUUGUCAUCAGUAUACAAAGUGUCACAUCCCAGGAAAAGAUACCAUCCUUGGUCUCCAGUAAAAAGCCAUGGGUCUUACAUAGCAGAAGACAAUAGUGCAGACACCUCCCCACAUCAUGUCUUCUUCCUUUGGCGUUAGUUGUCCUAUUUUUUAACAGAAAUAUAAUCCUCUCCACUCCUGUCUAAGAAUAACGUGUCCUGGAAUCGAGUUACAAAGUCUAUAUUAUCUAUACUCCUGCUACUGGAAGUAUUAAUAUUGCUCUUCAUUAAGGUAAUGAAUACAACCUGCACUAUUAAGAUAUUUUCCAAUUUUUCCAGUUGCAAAUUAUAGUCGCAUUAGUGAAUAAAGGUUACACAAUUGUUACAGCUGCUCUGGAAACAACUUCCAUCAAUCCAUGAUGAUUAACAAGCCACAAUGAUUAACAAGUCUUUGAAGUGUUCCCUAUUUCCUGGAGGUCCGAUACAGCGAGGGCAGAGUGAAAUGCAGCCUGAAACUUACCUCACUGUGUACAUUUAUGUCUAAACAUAUUCCUGAGAAGAAUCCGAGCACCUCACUGAAUACUAUACAAAGACUGCACUGUCUCAUCUGCCUUGCCCUUCUCCCUCGUCUGAUUACGCUUGGUAAAUCCUUGUAUGUCUUCUUAUUUCCCCCAAAGCCACCAGUAAACCUACAGUAGACAUCACAGCCUUCUCAUUCCUAUUUAGUGAAAUCACCAGCUCAUGAGCUCAUUAAAUUAAAAAUGUGAUCAUCACUGCAAGACAAUUUUCCUGGUCACAGAGUCAUGGACAGAUGGGAAAAAACCCUCUUCUUUUCAAGCAAAUUAAAAAACAACAACAAAAAUAACGAUUCUGUUAACGUGUCCCCUACCACAAAAAAAAGAUACAGGCUAGGUCAGGCAGCACAAGUCUAAUAGCACAGCACUAGUAGCUACAUGCUGCCCUGCUGAUGCCAUUUGUUCCAGGCCUAACUCUCUGUGAAACCUUCAAAGCAGAGGCCAGCAUAACUCAAGUAACAAAGAUGGCAAGCAGAGUAAUUCAGAAGGGUGCCCAGGACAACAGCCACAUCCCAUCAAUGAUUUGACUGGAAUUAUCUUGCCUCUGCAAACAGUGCUCCCCAGAUCUUUCUGAGUUCGCACAGCCAUGACAAAAAAGACCUUGUUUGCCACAGCACACUUGAGAGACUGCAGACUUUGCUGAGUCAUAGAAUCACCAAGGCUGGAAAUGACCUCCAAGAUCAUCCAGUCCAACCAUGAAGAGAUGAAAACCAGGAGCUAAUCCAAGAGUAAAAGCCAGAGCUCCUAAGCCUCACUGAAACAAGGAAGAGAAACUUUAUAGCAACCAUGAAGAUACCCCUUCCUUUUCAGUCUAUGUUGUUCUUUGUUGCACAAGCUACACUGGACUCUGGUCUCCUCAUUUUAUUUUCCUGUUGUUUAAACAUCAGUACUUAAGAAUGGUCUCUCCUGUUCUGCUGUAGCUACAUAAUCAGAAGGACUUCUUCAUAAUCAGAAGGACUUCUCCAUAAUCAGAAAGACUGCAGUAGAAGUGAUCAAUUGGGAAGAGGAAAGCAUAGCAGAAAGUUUAGGGUGGCAGAUACUGUUAUCCUUUAACAGUACAAAAGAGCAAAACAGCUCCCCGUUCUUUGUUUGCAGAAAUCCUACAGUAGGAGAGCUAUAACAGUUUCUGAGAAUUGGUGAGUCACAGCAAAUCACAAUUACUUCAGCGGAUGUACCAAAUGGGAUCACAUUCUUUGCAAAAUUUGCAUCCAGGAGGCUUCAAUUUCUGUAUGGCUAUCUGUGAACUAACCGGGACAGUUCAGAAAUCAGCAUAUGGAAACAUUGGGUAGGAAAUCCAGCUCUGAGGCUAAUUUCCGUUCUCAUGCACCGCUAUGCUAGCACUUGGCCUUACAAGCCAAGAGCAUGACACUUUACAAAUUCUUACUCUACUAACAACUCCCAUGUGCCACUUAAAAGCAGAUGAAGAACUCUAGUUUUAUCUCAGUACUUGUAACACAGAUCAGCUCAACAGAGAUCAGGCAAACUGUGGUAGUCACGGGAAAUACACGCUUUCCCAUCUUUCAGAAAUCGUUCAUGGUAAGAAACUGAAGUGCUGAAAAAUAAAGCAUUUAGUGAAAUUGUUGUAAAGGAGCAUGAAUACAGGAAGCCACCUCUUGCAGAAUAACAGCCACACAAUUGUAGGCAUUAUAAAAUAGAGGGAAAGGAUUCUUACAACUGUCUGGUAAGUACAUUGCUCAAGGUGUCUGACAGCAGUUCACUAAAACCAUGUCGAUAAGAAUGUGCUCUGAAAUACAGUCAUUCUAAGAAACCUGGGCAAAACUCACAGAUCACUGCAUUGCCAUGCAAACUGAAUGUUGUCUUUAACCAGCAGAAGAGAGGGGGGGGAAAAAUUGAGGUGGGGAGGCUAAAGAAACCUGGAGAAGCAAUAGCUGGAGCAGAACAUGCAAAUGACCGCACAGAAGUCUUCUGCAUCCCGCUAGACCUGAAGGCGCUUCAAAAUGCAAUCAGAGCUAGCGCAGGCUCCCACUGGCCCUGUCUUUCUCUGUGCACCUGUGAGCAGUACGCAGAAAGAAGCAGGUAAAUGAUAACUGCUUGCUUACAGUACCUAGCAGGUAUUCUCAUUACAACUAACAAGCUCUGCUUACCAGAUGUUCUUUCCUGCAAAGAAAACAUGUUACAGAUUCGCUUCAGUGUCAAAAGCAGCUGCAGACUGAAAAAGCGAUGUUAUCUUACAACUCCAAUCCUCCUGUAGGAGAGCUGUGUUUGCCAACCACAGGAAUUAGGACUGUUCCCACUUUUGUAUAUCAGCCUCUGGCCCUGCAGAAUUAGAUCUGCAGGUCUUUAAGGAAAGUAGUCAGCCCAGUAUUUUAAAUAAGCUAAUAAAAAGUGAAUUCUGGGACACUGUACUUCAAAGUAUGAAGAAUUUUUAAAAACACAGUUUCUCUUUUUUCCUGUUUACCUGAUGUUCAGCAGAACCUUGUCAAGAAAGAACAAAUGUCUGAAAACAGCACUGUCAAACAUACCAGCCUUCUUCCUGACUCCAGCCAAGAGGAAAGCAUGACUGGAGUGUGGGGCUGCUCCCCCAGUGAUUCCCUGCUGGGUGCAAGGAAAAUGAAGUUGUCCAUCUGGACUCGGAGGGAACAACAAAGUUGUCUUCCAGAGUCAGACGAGGAGCUAAAGUGGGACAAGGAACUGGUGCGAAAGGAAGAUCUGAGGCUGAGACUAAUUGGGCAAGGAGACUAAGAACACUAACUGCUAAAGGAGAAGAGGCAGAGAGGAGAGGGGAAAAUAGGUAAAGGGUGGAAGAAGAUGGAUCCAAGAAGAUAUGAGGUAGGGUUGUUUGGAGAAAGAAUAAUGGUAGAAAAGGGAGAAGAACUCAAAAAUUUUGUGAGGAAGCCAUUGGUAGGGAUUGAAUCUGAUGGCCUGAGUCAGUGGGAACACAAGGGGUAGGAGACUAGGAACAAGUAGUGGGGAAGAACAGGAGGUCUGAAGGGUAAAUAUUAGGAUUUCUUUGUCAAAAAGAUAGGGAUUAAAAUUAAAUGCCCGAAAAGCAGAAACAAACUGAGAACAAAAAUGGAAGUGGUGCAAGGAGCUUUGGAUGGAAAAAGAUGGGAUUAGGACAAAGAUCAUCUGCAAAGUGAGUAAAAUGGACAAAGUGUGUAUCUGCCAGAGUACUGUAUCCUUCCAGUGCCUGGCUCAGAAUCCAUGUUUUCAAGCCUCACCGUUCCACAGCUGCCAGCAAACACCUGUGACCAUGUCCCAUUUCCUCUCCAUGAGGAUCUACAGCGAUGACAUCCUAGUAUUGCUAUCAGUUACUCCAUAAGGGUAAGCGGCAGAGUUUUCUGCAGCAGAUCUAAAGGUUAUAAAUCUGUUGAUAAAUCAACAUAAUGCAAAAUCUUAAUUUCAGUUGAUAUAGCCACUUUUGUAACAUUCUUUUAACACAGCUGAAUAUACAAUACACGCAGGAGAAACUACUCAGAAUUGAAAUGUGACCAUCUGAAGCAUGAAAUGAAACAUCUGCUUUAGAGCAACAGUACAUGAUAUUUUAGAACAGGAAGAGAGGAUUGUGACAUCUGAGUAGAGCAACAUGGGUAGCCAGGAUAGCAAGCUGUAAUCCUGUAAACUAAAACUUGACCAGGAGGUCAAGAGUUACCCCACCUUGCAGAACUUGUUGUGUAGCCUGUAACCACUAAAUGUAACUCUCAUUAGUAUAAAGAAAAUCCAGAUUAAAGUAACAUCCUCAUCACUUGAAAAUAAUUACCAACUUACAGGUAACUUUGCAAUGCAUUUCUGAAACUUUGCUUAUUGUUCUUCUGACAGCAUGACUCACGGCUAUGCCCAUGCCUCAGAGACACCAAUUACCCAGAGAAUAAUUAACCCACAGUGCUCAGGGUGCUCAGCAGGACCACACAGCUCCACGGGGUUUAACAGCACUCCACCCAGAUGCAACAGCCUGCACAGACACAUUAUUUUGAGAGCUGAGCUCUAAAUCAGCCACUGAAUAGUGACAAGUAGCAGCACAGCAAUGUAUCCCCUCUGGCAAAAGUGUUCUGGCAGCCCUCAAAGCAAAUAAAAAGCAAAUUAAAGACGCAACAAAACUAAAUUAUAAAGCCACAUACUCAGCAGGCUCUACUGGCUCACUGCAUUUAAAGGGAUACUGCCCAAUGCUUUUUUUUAUUUUUAGAAAAAGGUAUUUUUGAGAUGAGCAGAAUGAUAUGUUUUAAAGUGUAUCAGCCUUUUUUUUUUCUUUCUUCUUAAUAUCAACAUAGUCUCUCACUGCUUGGAGUCAAAAUGACUCAGUCACCAUAUAAAUAAAAGCAGCUUGUAAUAGAAGCCCAAAACUUACUACUCUAGAGUGACAGUUUCAGCUCAUAGAAAUGGAAAAAGCAAAAAAUAUGAAAAGUAAAUUCCAUUUUUUUUAUUAUUUGUGACUUUCUGCAACACAUUAAUUUUUAAGUGACAGUGUCCCUUUAAGUAAAGAUUAUUUUGCUUUUCUUAAAGCCACCAUCAGUGAUUUUGAUGGGACUGCUGUCUCUAAUGAGGCAUUGGGAGGAGGAGGAUGGGGAGGAGGGAAAGGUCUAGUGGAAAUAGCAUUAAAUGGGGAAAAGGAUCUGUUAGGAAUAAUUCAGCAUCAACCCUUUUACAGCUCCCAUUUCAUGUUCACAUGGGUCUGGGCAAACCUAGGAAGAGGAUUUCAAAGCCUCUCUGCAGAAGAUACCCCAGGAAAGAAUGCCAGAGGGACUGAGCAGUGUAAGAAGCACAGUGUUUGUGGAGGACUGUCUCACCAAAAUUAACAGUGGGGCCCAACUGGGCAAUAAAUCAGGUCUAGUAAGAAUUAAAAAAAGUCUUCCAUUCUGAAACUUGAUUCCAGUUAGCUUUUCUUAAACAACAAGGCAAUUUUGAGUAAAUCCCAACAAAGAGCUACAAGCAGGUAUUUUGUGGGUUAGCCUUCCCUUGGAGGAGGAGAAAAAAUGAGAAUUAAAAACUUGGGCAUGAUUUCAUCUGAAAGUGCAAAUGCAGAAAACAGUGAAACCAGAGGGAAGACCUCCAGGGAUCUGUCUUGGGUCAACAAAAGCACAGUUUGAACAAGCAACUUCAUAUUCUGACAACAAAUGAAAUGGGAGACUCUCAGAUGGCAAAGCAACCUAGCAGGGUUUGCUUUCUCUUGGAUCCACUGAUAGAUCUGCUCGCUUUGUAAGAAUAGAUUUACAUUAACUAAAUGAGUAAAGGGAAUUUUAAUUUUCAAGAGGUUAAACAAGCACCAUUUACAAAGCAGAAGUUAUCCGCCUACUACAGGAUUCAGGAAGUAGCAUUAAUUAAGGAAAUGGAGAACCACAGUGCAGACUGAUGACCGCAUUAUAAUUGUAAGGUGAGGAAAAAAAAAGAGCUAAAAGUAACAUUAAUUAAAGAAACGAAGAAUCACAGUGCAGAGUGUCAAUCACAUUAUAAUCAUAAAGCAAGGAAAAAAAGAGCUAAAUUCUUGUAUGUUUGUCACUUAAAUGAGAUACCAAAAACAAAAUAACAUAGCAAGCUUAGUAGCUGUGUAAUGAUGCUAACGGAGGUGACUGGAAACAGUAGAUUACACCAAAACUGACUGCAGCUCUACUUGUAGAUUCUCUUACUAGCCCUACAAUAAGACAAACCAAGAAAUAAGAAAUCUGUUAUCUACUACUGUUUCCAAAGUACCUUGAGGAUGCAUUUCUUGUGAGCUCAUCAAAAUACUCUUUGAAAAGAGCAAAAGAGCCUCAGAAAGAGAAAAGGGAGGCAAAGGCAUAACUAAUCCUUUAGAGUGCUGUAGCUCUUGGGAGUUGGUGAGAUCUGCCAUUCCCUUUGCGUUAAUGUAUUUUCCUGAAGAUUGGGAUGGUAGAAUUGGACUUUGCAAAGGAGAAACAGAAGUCAGAAUGGCCACUUCCAGCAGGGAAGGUGGCUGGAGUGGAAACUGUAUAUAAAUUCCAAAAUAAUUAUCGAUAUGGAAAAUGUAAGAGGGAGCUUUAUGCAUGGUUUAUGGAGUAUGCCAGGAUUUCCUCUUCCUGAGCUGCAAAAGGGGUUCUGCCAGUCAUGUGCAAGGACUGUUUCUUCUUGAUUGUGAGCCAAGGAUGGGAGAAGUAGGUGAAGGGAGGGGUGGGAAGGAGUGUCAGCAGGGUUAGUGUCAGCGAGAGGUUCAGCUAUACAUACCACCCAGAUGCAAGUCGAUGAGGUCACUGUAAUAAGACUCUCCCCAAUAGUCUAUAACAAGGAAUCGGUGAAGACAGAGUUAUUGAGUCAGAUACCCACCCUAGCCCCACACAAUCAAAGCAGUCUAUGAGAAAAAAAAGACAUACAGACAGACAGAAACAAAAAAGACAGAACAACAAGAAACAUGCAUCUAUGUACGUUUGCACAUAUACAUAAUACAUAUAAAAUUACAUCUUUGUUUAUAUACAUAUAUGUGCACACGCACAUAUAUGUAUCACAAAAAUAUAUUGGGAAGAUGAGGAGAAAAUUCCCAGCAGGCAGGCAUGGAUAUCCAUGGAGAAAAAUCAAGAAGUUUACACAGACACUUCACCCUCUCAGUCUGCACCAGCACUUGAUGCUGAUGUCUUUCCUGUUCCUGCUGAGAAAAGCAGAGCUAUUCUUGUUGUAUUCAUAACUGUUUAGGUCAGCUGCAAGAAAGGUGUAAGGAUUGACUUCUUGGAGGCGAGUCUGUGGAGGAUGUGUAUGUACAGAACACGACUGAAAGGCACUGACUGAGUGCUGACACAAAUGGCAAACGCAGAAGUGUGGCAGAAAGGGUUCCUGCUAAUGCAGUACCUAUGUGAGAGAAGAACAUAAGAGGGUGUGAAACAGAGACAAGCCUGUCCACAGCUGCUAGAGUCAGGUACACCGUGAGUCUAGCACUGUACAGUUAUUCUUCCGGGAAGAGACAUGGGAGUACUGAGAGCACUGUUUCUCACUGCAUAUGAUUCACUUGAUGUCAAGAGGUUGCUCUGCAAUUUUUCAGUAUCAGUCUGUCAGUACAAGACAUCUUAAAAAUGACUAUCAGAGUUUGUGCUAAAGGAGAACAAGGGAGAAGAAGAAAGAGAUUCAAGAAAUCUCCAAGUUGACAUGUUUUUCCAAGAUAAUAAUUGAAAAGUCGUAAUAAUGUCCAGACAGGCGAAUGCACUAUAAUACAAAGCAGUCUUACAUUAAUAGUGAGCCCAUUCCAGCUGUCUCCAGGGAUGCUGCAGAAAAAUGGAAUAAUUUUUUCCUGAGAUUAUCUUACUUUACCAUGGCAGUGAAAUGCCAUGAUACAAAAGGAAAUUAAAAACAAAAAGGCAAGAAAAAAAUACAGAUGACAAAACCUUGGCCCACCUUGUAGAUGACAAACUGGCCACCUUAAAUAGAGCUUCAAUUUCAGAUCAUACAUUCUUACUACAGAAGCGACUGCCAAAGGGUGAGAUCUUCAAAGAUAUUAGGAGAGAAUAAUUAAGGCAAUUGAGUAAUCAUAUGGUGUGAGACUAUUUUCUGAAUCAGAAACGAAAUGUUAGGUUGAGCAUUCGCAGCUUAUUAAAGAACAGGAGGCCAGCUGCAUGUUCCCUGAGGCUGAGCCAAUUUAAAAAAGAAGCAAAGAAGUUAGACAGGAAGGUGCAAUUAUUUUGUCAAAAUUAAAGUUGACAGUGACCUGCUAGCAUCAUCAUACAGAAUAUUUCAGCCUGACAACAAUCAGAUAAGGACUGUCACCUCUGGAAAUAGUACUGACCUGUUAGCUCUAUUGCUGGGAUCUAAACUGUAGACUCACAGGACGUUGCUGUGAAAAAAUAUUGACUACUGUGCUCGGUAUAAACCACCUACUAAGGCUGAAACAAAAUGGAUGGAAAAAUAAAAGCAAAAUUCUUCUAAGCAAACAAAUCCUUACCCAGACUGUCUUCUUUGUUCUUACCAGUCUAACUGAAAGAUACGCUUCUAUAAAGGUGGGAAAAG